AUCUAAAACCGAAGCUGAGAAAAUAACAAACAUACAAGCCUUUUGAAAACAAACUGUGCCCAGACAUCUUUUAAGGCUGAGUGGUUGACCAGCGCAGACCACCCAGCCACCCAGAUCUGGGGCUGCUCCCGUUCCCAGUCCAAGGGUUCCAAGAACUUAGAUUAAAACCCUUCCGACCUCGCUUUGCAAUAUGGAACCGGACGACCCCAUGGGUUAGGGGACCGGAGAGCAUGGAGGACCGUCCCCCAACCCUCUGCAGUGUGGUGCCUUCCGAUGAGCUGUUUUGUUUCACGCAGAGCUGAGCUCACCUGGGAGAUGAUCUUGUGACAAGAAUACCAGGCUGAGUCCAGAUCAGCAAAGAGAGGACAGGAAGAGGAAGAGGAAGAGAAGCAGAGGCAGCCAUGCGAAGCGGUGACUGGCAGAAAGAGAGGCAGAACGGCUGAACUAGGGUGAUGAACAUUGAGCAGAAGGGUCACUGUCCCUAACUCAAGAUCUAGGCAGGAAAUAAGCUGGUGACCCCAAUGAAGAGGAGAUAUAAGAAGGAGCCGAGCAUCUGGUACUUUCUCUGAUCUGCUCUCUGAGCCUCAGCCUGGGCCUUGUCCUUUGGAUGAAACACCUACAGCAGCUACCUUCGGAGUCAAGACACAUUCAGCAUACGGGGUUCCUAGCCAGGGAAGUCAACGGACACUAACUGAACACUAGCCUUUUGCAAAUCACAAUAUAAAACAUGGGGCUGGACACCAUGGGGGAAUCCCAGGAACCCUUGGUCUUUGCCCCCAAGAAAUUAACGGCUGAGUUAUGGAAAUAAAGUCAUUUAAAUGUUCAAUGAAAAUUCAAGCUAUGUGUUAUUAUCCAAAAGUGAGGGUGGAAUCAUUAAUGAUCUAAAAGGAGGAAGAGAA